CCUACGGGUGGCAGCAGUGAGGAAUAUUGGUCAAUGGACGAGAGUCUGAACCAGCCAAGUAGCGUGAAGGAUGACUGCCCUAUGGGUUGUAAACUUCUUUUAUCUGGGAAUAAAAUGUUCCACGUGUGGGAUUUUGUAUGUACCAUAUGAAUAAGGAUCGGCUAACUCCGUGCCAGCAGCCGCGGUAAUACGGAGGAUCCGAGCGUUAUCCGGAUUUAUUGGGUUUAAAGGGAGCGUAGGUGGAUUGUUAAGUCAGUUGUGAAAGUUUGCGGCUCAACCGUAAAAUUGCAGUUGAAACUGGCAGUCUUGAGUACAGUAGAGGUGGGCGGAAUUCGUGGUGUAGCGGUGAAAGGCUUAGAUAUCACGAAGAACUCCGAUUGCGAAGGCAGCUCACUGGACUGCAACUGACACUGAGGCUCGAAAGUGUGGGUAUCAAACAGGAUUAGAUACCCCAGUAGUC
rnacentral:rRNA from 1 species